UUCCUGCAGAAAUAUAGGACAGGAAUCGUGAUGGCUUGUAUAUUGCUGACUGUCACUAUGAAGUGUGACAACAGGAGGUCUUCAGUAUUGAGCAAAUACAACAUCCAAAAUAAAAAUAAAAGCUGAUCAGGAAAGACAGAAAAGUAAAGUGAACAAUCCAAAUGUGCUGUCCUUGGGAGUGAGAAGGAAAAUCUCACUUGGGAGUGAGAAGGAAAAUGUGCCUGUUCACUGCUACAAGGUUAGGAAGAAGGUACACAAAAGCAAAUGGAGGAAGACUUCAGGGUUCUCAGAAUGAAAUCUGAAUGACUGUCUAUUUCCAUCUGUGCUAGAGGAUGUUGCUGGAAGAUGUGGCCACUAAUCGUCUUUGUUGUAACACAGCAGUGGAGCCUGAGCUGGAAAAAUGCUGUUGUUUUUAUACCUCCAUUCAGAAGACAUUGGUUAUGUGCCCAAUUAAGCCAAAUGCUAAUAAAACUAAUUUAUCUAGUGUUGUCUUAAGUGGCACAUAUCUAUAAGCAUUUAUUGCACUGAAUUAAGUGUAAUAAGUGGGCAAUGUUCACUGUGACCUCAGUAAAACCUUUUCAAACA